UAAUUUCACCGUUUCCCUGAAUUCCUAGCCGAAAGCGAGUCAUUUACUUUGAUCGUGAUCACAACAAUACAGUAACUACGACAGACAGCAUAGUGCGUUUCAUUAGAACAAUACUAAUGAAAAAUAUCAAUUAAAAAUUCCGUGAUGCCUUCCCAUGUCACGCACGAUAUUCGAUUUUUCGUCUAAAGGAGCAUCGUUGAUGGUAUAACGCCUUGGUUAAUGGCAGGUGCAGAACAUGCAUAUACGCAUUGAAACGUUUUUGAACACGAAACGAUGAUUGUGUAAGUGAGCGUGCGUGUACGCGCUGCAAGCGGGGCAAGUAUUGUAAUUAAACUAUGCAAGCUAUUUUACACUUAACUACAUUAAAAGAAGACUAUUUACGCUCAACUACACGACACACAAGAGCUAACCUGUGAGAGUAGAUUACGAGUAGUUCUACACCAGCGUGCGCGUGCAACGUUAUACACUACUCUUGCGCUUGUGUAUAAUUCGAUACGAGGCCACGAAUUUAAUGGCUGACAAAAUGUCACUAUAUCCGUUGAGCUUUUGACUAUCGAACUAUCACAUAUCGAUGUUUUAUCCUGGAAACUAAAUAAUCGAGCAAACGAAUAAUGAACGGGGAUGGCCUCGAGAAGAAAGGAAGCCUUUGACAUCGGCGUGCACGAGCGACUCCUUUGAUACACGUGUCUUUCCUCUGUACAUCAUGAAAGAAAAUCAAGCGUCUAAGGAGAGGAUCGAACGAACGGUUGAAUAGUAGACUGAUUGUCACAAGUAUACCGUCAGACACAAAUUAGAUCGGGAAACAACGUUUAACCAUCGAAGAACGCG